UGCUCCGGCCCUUUAGACUUUUGGCCUCCGUGCCACCCCUCCGGAAUGCCCACCCCUAAUCAGCCUUCUCUCUCUCCUCCAGCUAAUGGCCAGGACACGGCCCCCUCCAACACCUCCUGCCCCUCCGCUGUUGAACUUCACACCCAAGUUUAUGUCACUGCUCCGUGCCCAGGACCUCGGAUGGCACCAGCUGACAGUGGCAUCCCAUCUCUACAAUUUGAGGUUUCACCCAUAUUCACAAAGGACCAGGGGGUGCAGGACCUCCAACCCAGGCAUCCAUCAUUAUUCAUAAGAGCCAAAUUAUGGAGUCAACCUAAGUGUUCAUGAAUAAAUGAAUGAAUCAAGAAAAUGUGGUAUAUAUUCACAAUGGAACACUAUUCAGCCUUACAAAAAAGAAACGGAAUCCUGUCACCUGGAAGACAAUUAAGUACAAUAAACCAGGUCAUUUUUGCAAAAUAGGCAAAGCCAAGCCACAUUCUUCUGUGUUGACUGAUGGUGGGAAGAGGUGGAGUGCAUUGGUCAUCAGGGGAAGAGAGGAAACCAGUGUGGACGGAUGGCACUUCACUCACCCAGCUCUGUCCUCCUUCUCUGACUGGCGCUCUACAAAGCUCAGUAGGGUGCGGUUUCAUAGCCUGGGACCCAAGAAUCCGGGAAUUAUAUGAGGACCCAGCCCAGGUGCAUUUUGGGAGGCACCUGUGAGGAUCUGGAGAAUACAGAAGACAGAUACACUGUUUACUAAGGGCACAGCAUGCCAAGUCCUGUGGUAACAGCAGGUUACAGGCUCCAGGUGACUUCUUCUUUGGGCUAACUCAACGAUGGAGGAACUUAUUAUUCUAUUUUACACGAAGAAACUGCCACUUGGAUGGAAUAAAUAAAUAGACAGGAUUGCAUGGCUG
rnacentral:lncRNA from 1 species